rnacentral:rRNA from 1 species
GGGCCCGCACAAGCGGUGGAGUAUGUGGUUUAAUUCGAUGCAACGCGAAGAACCUUACCAGGGUUUGACAUCCUGCGAAUCUCUUGGAAACGAGAGAGUGCCUUCGGGAACGCAGUGACAGGUGGUGCAUGGCUGUCGUCAGCUCGUGUCGUGAGAUGUUGGGUUAAGUCCCGCAACGAGCGCAACCCUCACUUUUAGUUGCCAUCAUUAAGUUGGGCACUCUGAAAGAACUGCCAGUGAUAAGCUGGAGGAAGGUGGGGAUGACGUCAAGUCCUCAUGGCCCUUACGUGUUGGGCUACACACGUGCUACAAUGCUACGGACAAAGGGCUGCAAGUUCGCGAGGACAAGCAAAUCCCAUAAACCGUGGCUC